rnacentral:rRNA from 1 species
ACGAAGGGUGCAAGCGUUAAUCGGAAUUACUGGGCGUAAAGCGUGCGCAGGCGGUUUUGUAAGACAGAGGUGAAAUCCCCGGGCUCAACCUGGGAACUGCCUUUGUGACUGCACGGCUAGAGUGCGUCAGAGGGGGGUAGAAUUCCACGUGUAGCAGUGAAAUGCGUAGAUAUGUGGAGGAAUACCGAUGGCGAAGGCAGCCCCCUGGGAUAA